GCGGCAGUAUCUCAGUGGUCAGUGGUGGAGCCUCCGCUUCGCAUGCGGGGAGACCUGGGUUCGAUUCCCGGCUGCUUCC
rnacentral:tRNA from 1 species